rnacentral:rRNA from 1 species
UACAGAGGUGGCAAGCGUUGUUCGGAAUUACUGGGCGUAAAGGGCGCGUAGGCGGCCCACUAAGUCAGACGUGAAAUCCCCCGGCUUAACCUGGGAACUGCGUCUGAUACUGGAGGGCUUGAGUAUGGGAGAGGGAUGUAGAAUUCCAGGUGUAGCGGUGAAAUGCGUAGAUAUCUGGAGGAAUACCGGUGGCGAAGGCGGCAUCCUGGACCAGUACUGACACUCAAGUGCGAAAGCGUGGGGAGCAAACAGG